GGGGACGGCGGGGCAGCGGGACCCCGAACACGGCCUGGAGCCGUCCUGCGGCACCGUGUGUGUGUAUAUUUGAGGUUUCCCAUGAGCUGCAAGCCCCAGCACAGGGAAUGGAAAGUGACGAGCACCUGGUGUGGUUCUCCCACAUCUCAAAGGCAAUGUCCUUGGGACAAAGCUCGGGUAUGACCGCUGGCUGUCAGCAGCUCCCUUCGGCUGCCCAGCGCCGCUUUCCUGGGAAGGAAAGUGGCUCAGUGACAGCUGUGUGUAUAUGAGAGGAAGAUGGAAAAUGGCCCAGCACCAGGUAGGGAAAUUUCUGCACAUCAGACUGGGCUGGAAAACCACUUGGAGGCCAGUUCAGGAAGCUCAAGGUGGGAGCAAACACUUCCUCAUCUCCUUUACACACCUCGGGGGAACUUGGGAGGAUGUGCUCUCCUGUCCGGAAGGUGGAGGGACAAGGGGCAGGUAGAAAGAAAACUGAAAGAACCGAAUUUCCUGGCUUUUAGGAAUUUAACCCUUAGUGCUCUCCAAUCCUGGAUUUUGUUUGCAAAUCAAAAAUGGGGAAAGAUUUUGGUAACCCUAUAGUAUCACCAACAGUUUGUUAAAAGACUAAUUGCCAAGUAGCUUAUGCAUGUGGGACCAUUAGUAAUUCUGUAGCUAUGCAAAUUAAAACAGUGAUGUAUGAUUUAUAGCUUUAAUAAUGUUCUGAAGGCUCUUAAAUUUUAAUCACUUGCAACAUCCUUUUUAAUAUUCAAUUACUUUAUUAACUAAUUAGGUCACUUGCUGAAAAAGCACAUAAGGCUCGUGCUAUUUUAAUAUCAGCCGAACAUCACAAAAUACCUUUGAAAUGGUGUAAAUGGUUUAUUUAUUUUAAAUAGAUCAUUAAGAUGCUGUAAUUAAUAAAUCAAUUACAGAAAAAAAAGACAAGAAAUUGAUAGAUGCCAAAUCACAAUAGUACUGGCUUCUCUGCUUACUUUUUAAAUUAUAUGUUGAACUUGGUGAACGUGGCUACUGCAGCACCUUCCUGGAUAAUUCGUAUUCAGCUGAAGGGAUAAGGUUGAAGAUACGCUUGGUUCAUUAUAGAUGCUUUUUGUAUGGAUUUAGCUUUCUGAUUGAUAACAGCUCCACAAAUGACCUUGAAAAGUGAAAGUACUUAAAAGGACAGCCCUCCUUUUCCUCGUGCUCUUUUGUUUGCCUCAAAAAAGAUAAAACCGCGGCAUCAGGGAGCGCUGCUGCUGCUGGGCUGGAAGGGAGAGCUCCGGGGAGGGCAGUGGGCGGCUCUCACUGACCGACCUGCUCCCCUCACAGGGGGCAGCGCAGCAGAGAUGCAAGGAGAGAAAUUUCCAGCCCUGCAGAAGCCAGCUCGGCUCUAGUGCAGAGGUUUACACCUCCCCUUUACAUCAAACCUUGAAGUAAAACUUCAAGUCUCAGAAGUUAAACUUGUCACCAGUGCGGCUGCAACUCUGAAAGAGACUGAGUAAUCUUAGUCUUAAAACUAAGGGUAAGACAAACACUGUUCUAGGAAUUAAGUCAAUCUUAUUAACAGAUUUUGGUUUAAAUUAUAUUGAUGUGAUGAUACAAAGUGCAAAUUUUCUCUCUUGAGAAGCUGCUAGUAAGAUCUGCAGUAAUUAUAGAGCACUCAUCUUCCCAUUUUAACUUCUCUUGCUUCCAUUUUCUUGUAACAAAAACCUGUAAAUCCGUGGGCAAAAAGCUUCAUGUUACAAUUUCUGCUAAACUGAAGGCUGCCCUUUACAACUGAGCUGCAAAGAAAACUCCAUACUUCCAGAUCUCAAUUUAUAGAGUUUCCUGGGAACUGAAACAUAUGUGCUGUAAGUCUGGCUCUAAAGCAGAGUCCAGGUGAGCUACCAGACUGUUACUCCAGGACCCCAAACCCAAAAAUAAAUGCUGCUCCUGCCCCCAUCCCAGGGGUGCCUGCAGCCCAGCUCUACUGCAGCUGACAGUGCCCUGUUCCAGUAGUGGGGCUUGAGCUGAAAUAAUGGAUUUUCUCCUAGGAAAAUGCCACCUUGGUACCAUUCCUCACUGCUGUGAGAGGCCGCUGCAGGGGGUGACCAUCCCUUGAAAGGAACGACACACUGGACUACCACAGGCUGUGCAGAAGGGAUAGAGAGCCCUAAAAUAAAUCCAUCUCACAUCUUAUGGGAACUGCCACAGGAAACGAAGGCACAGAACAACCUUAAGAUAUACAACACCCAGCCAGCCAAACCCUUCUGGAGAGCUCACAGGUACAGCUGGACCUGGCUUCAGAAAUGAAGAAAGCAGUUGUACUAACACAGCAGCACGAUUUUGGUUAUAUUUGAGUUCUAUAAUGCAGCAGGUGGUAACUGGUGGAUCUGUCCCCAUUCACUCAGUAGCUCAUUUGUAUUUUCACCUGGAAAGGAAAUUUCUAGUUUAAAGAUAUUAUUUUGUUCCUACCUGAAAUGUCAGAAAUGGAAACAUUUUAUGGUAUUUAUCUUAAGUUCAAUACUGUUUUAAGCAAAUACCCAUUUUAUAUUCAGUCUUUAUAAAUAAAGAUAUAAACAACAUUCUGCUAAGCACUGCUACCUGUGAUCCAUGUGCUUGAACUGGGGAGAAAACUUCCAGGCUCUCAUCACAGCAGAAAAGAUGCCCAUGUUCUGAAGGAAUCCUUCCAGGGUUUAUUUCUGAUGUUUAUUUUGGUUUGAAGGACUUUGUUCUCACCCACCUGCAGAGGAUCUGGCUGGCUGACAAAGCUGCUCCUCACACUCCACACAUGCUGCUCUGUGAGGAGGAUAUUGAUCCAUGAGAUAAACAGAGAUCACUCCUAUGGCUGUUCCCAGAGCCAGGGCACCCUUCACUAAGGUAGAAUUGGCACAAGCACAAAGACCCACCCCAAAGUGACCAGGCUCUCCCCUGGAGUUACUGCAACCCCUGACAAAUCUGCUCUCUUAUCACCAGUGUCAGCUAGAAGCAAAACCAAGGGUUCCUCUGAGAUGUGAACAACCUGAUCAGGGACAUGGUCCUUCAACUCAAAGCUGACUAUUGCCCUGGCCAAACCCUCCUUAGGACAGCAUGAGGAACAGACUCAUCCUACUCCUCCAAAAAGCUUCCAAGGAGGAUUGAGAAGCACUGCACCCUUUGGGACAGGAUAACAACACUGACUCCAGCUUCAGCUUUCCUCAGCCCUGGAAGGAGCUUCCUUCCCACCACAAUUCUGCAUACAUUGAACCAGUCUGAGCCUUCCCAUCUGCUCCAACGAGAGGGUUUGAAGAUGAUUAUUCCAAAGAAGUGUAAAGGUUUCAGAACAGGAACCAGAGCCAUCUCUCCUACUCAGCCGUUGAAGGCUGCCUUGAUUACUUUGAUGUAACAACACUUGAAAGCUCCUAUUCUUUGAAACUAAUUUAAACACAUUGAAUUGUUGAAAGAUUAAAAACCGCAGUCAGCUAAUUA